AGGUAUAAUGGUGAUUUGGCUAUAAUAUCUGUCAUCCUAUUGAUCAGUUGAUUUAGCCAAUCUGGNUGGCUGGGUGGAUGUUCCCUUCGUCCUUCAACAGCCCACGUGUCCUUCCUAAAGCUGCACAUGUGGUUGAAGAGGCCCUUUCCCAACAGAGGAAGAUCAUUCUUGAGUCAAGGAUCUAUGCAGUGCUCAAUCCCUUGUUAGGACCCCCAACAAACUUUGAAGGUCCAUUUGUAGGAGAAUGUAGGGUGUUCGAGCUGUCAGGAUUCUAGACACAUCUAAAUGAGAUGCUACAUGUGGUAGUCUGCCUUUCUUU
rnacentral:snRNA from 1 species